UUAAGCGACUAAGCGUACACGGUGGAUGCCCUGGCAGUCAGAGGCGAUGAAGGACGUGCUAAUCUGCGAUAAGCGUCGGUAAGGUGAUAUGAACCGUUAUAACCGGCGAUUUCCGAAUGGGGAAACCCAGUGUGUUUCGACACACUAUCAUUAACUGAAUCCAUAGGUUAAUGAGGCGAACCGGGGGAACUGAAACAUCUAAGUACCCCGAGGAAAAGAAAUCAACCGAGAUUCCCCCAGUAGCGGCGAGCGAACGGGGAGCAGCCCAGAGCCUGAAUCAGUGUGUGUGUUAGUGGAAGCGUCUGGAAAGGCGCGCGAUACAGGGUGACAGCCCCGUACACAAAAAUGCACAUGCUGUGAGCUCGAUGAGUAGGGCGGGACACGUGGUAUCCUGUCUGAAUAUGGGGGGACCAUCCUCCAAGGCUAAAUACUCCUGACUGACCGAUAGUGAACCAGUACCGUGAGGGAAAGGCGAAAAGAACCCCGGCGAGGGGAGUGAAAAAGAACCUGAAACCGUGUACGUACAAGCAGUGGGAGCACGCUUAGGCGUGUGACUGCGUACCUUUUGUAUAAUGGGUCAGCGACUUAUAUUCUGUAGCAAGGUUAACCGAAUAGGGGAGCCGAAGGGAAACCGAGUCUUAACUGGGCGUUAAGUUGCAGGGUAUAGACCCGAAACCCGGUGAUCUAGCCAUGGGCAGGUUGAAGGUUGGGUAACACUAACUGGAGGACCGAACCGACUAAUGUUGAAAAAUUAGCGGAUGACUUGUGGCUGGGGGUGAAAGGCCAAUCAAACCGGGAGAUAGCUGGUUCUCCCCGAAAGCUAUUUAGGUAGCGCCUCGUGAAUUCAUCUCCGGGGGUAGAGCACUGUUUCGGCAAGGGGGUCAUCCCGACUUACCAACCCGAUGCAAACUGCGAAUACCGGAGAAUGUUAUCACGGGAGACACACGGCGGGUGCUAACGUCCGUCGUGAAGAGGGAAACAACCCAGACCGCCAGCUAAGGUCCCAAAGUCAUGGUUAAGUGGGAAACGAUGUGGGAAGGCCCAGACAGCCAGGAUGUUGGCUUAGAAGCAGCCAUCAUUUAAAGAAAGCGUAAUAGCUCACUGGUCGAGUCGGCCUGCGCGGAAGAUGUAACGGGGCUAAACCAUGCACCGAAGCUGCGGCAGCGACACUAUGUGUUGUUGGGUAGGGGAGCGUUCUGUAAGCCUGUGAAGGUGUACUGUGAGGUAUGCUGGAGGUAUCAGAAGUGCGAAUGCUGACAUAAGUAACGAUAAAGCGGGUGAAAAGCCCGCUCGCCGGAAGACCAAGGGUUCCUGUCCAACGUUAAUCGGGGCAGGGUGAGUCGACCCCUAAGGCGAGGCCGAAAGGCGUAGUCGAUGGGAAACAGGUUAAUAUUCCUGUACUUGGUGUUACUGCGAAGGGGGGACGGAGAAGGCUAUGUUGGCCGGGCGACGGUUGUCCCGGUUUAAGCGUGUAGGCUGGUUUUCCAGGCAAAUCCGGAAAAUCAAGGCUGAGGCGUGAUGACGAGGCACUACGGUGCUGAAGCAACAAAUGCCCUGCUUCCAGGAAAAGCCUCUAAGCAUCAGGUAACAUCAAAUCGUACCCCAAACCGACACAGGUGGUCAGGUAGAGAAUACCAAGGCGCUUGAGAGAACUCGGGUGAAGGAACUAGGCAAAAUGGUGCCGUAACUUCGGGAGAAGGCACGCUGAUAUGUAGGUGAAGUCCCUCGCGGAUGGAGCUGAAAUCAGUCGAAGAUACCAGCUGGCUGCAACUGUUUAUUAAAAACACAGCACUGUGCAAACACGAAAGUGGACGUAUACGGUGUGACGCCUGCCCGGUGCCGGAAGGUUAAUUGAUGGGGUUAGCGCAAGCGAAGCUCUUGAUCGAAGCCCCGGUAAACGGCGGCCGUAACUAUAACGGUCCUAAGGUAGCGAAAUUCCUUGUCGGGUAAGUUCCGACCUGCACGAAUGGCGUAAUGAUGGCCAGGCUGUCUCCACCCGAGACUCAGUGAAAUUGAACUCGCUGUGAAGAUGCAGUGUACCCGCGGCAAGACGGAAAGACCCCGUGAACCUUUACUAUAGCUUGACACUGAACAUUGAGCCUUGAUGUGUAGGAUAGGUGGGAGGCUUUGAAGUGUGGACGCCAGUCUGCAUGGAGCCGACCUUGAAAUACCACCCUUUAAUGUUUGAUGUUCUAACGUUGACCCGUGAUCCGGGUUGCGGACAGUGUCUGGUGGGUAGUUUGACUGGGGCGGUCUCCUCCUAAAGAGUAACGGAGGAGCACGAAGGUUGGCUAAUCCUGGUCGGACAUCAGGAGGUUAGUGCAAUGGCAUAAGCCAGCUUGACUGCGAGCGUGACGGCGCGAGCAGGUGCGAAAGCAGGUCAUAGUGAUCCGGUGGUUCUGAAUGGAAGGGCCAUCGCUCAACGGAUAAAAGGUACUCCGGGGAUAACAGGCUGAUACCGCCCAAGAGUUCAUAUCGACGGCGGUGUUUGGCACCUCGAUGUCGGCUCAUCACAUCCUGGGGCUGAAGUAGGUCCCAAGGGUAUGGCUGUUCGCCAUUUAAAGUGGUACGCGAGCUGGGUUUAGAACGUCGUGAGACAGUUCGGUCCCUAUCUGCCGUGGGCGCUGGAGAACUGAGGGGGGCUGCUCCUAGUACGAGAGGACCGGAGUGGACGCAUCACUGGUGUUCGGGUUGUCAUGCCAAUGGCACUGCCCGGUAGCUAAAUGCGGAAGAGAUAAGUGCUGAAAGCAUCUAAGCACGAAACUUGCCCCGAGAUGAGUUCUCCCUGACCCUUUAAGGGUCCUGAAGGAACGUUGAAGACGACGACGUUGAUAGGCCGGGUGUGUAAGCGCAGCGAUGCGUUGAGCUAACCGGUACUAAUGAACCGUGAGGCUUAACCUU
rnacentral:rRNA from 1 species